rnacentral:rRNA from 1 species
UCCUACGGGUGGCUGCAGUGGGGAAUCUUGCGCAAUGGGCGAAAGCCUGACGCAGCGACGCCGCGUGGGGGAUGAAGCUUCUCGGAGUGUAAACCCCUUUCGACCGGGACGAAUGCCCGCAAGGGGGUGACGGUACCGGUAUAAGAAGCCCCGGCUAACUACGUGCCAGCAGCCGCGGUAAGACGUAGGGGGCCAGCGUUGUUCGGAAUUACUGGGUGUAAAGGGUUCGUAGGCGGUGUGGCAAGUCGGGAGUGAAAUCUCUGGGCUCAACUCAGGGGCUGCUUCCGAAACUGCUGUGCUAGAGUGCGGGAGAGGCGCGUGGAAUUGCAGGUGUAGCGGUGAAAUGCGUAGAUAUCUGCAGGAACACCCGUGGCGAAAGCGGCGCGCUGGACCGUUACUGACGCUGAGGAACGAAAGCUAGGGGAGCAAACAGGAUUAGAUACCCUAGUAGUCCC